ACCACCAGCUAUAUCACCCUGAACUCACCGCUGGCAAUGUACUGAAGCUAAGCAGCUGUGAGACUUGCCAGUACCUGGAUGGGAGACCUCCUGGAAAAGUCUGUUGCUGCUGGAA
rnacentral:rRNA from 1 species